UCCGGUUUAUCACCGGCAGUCUCUGCAGAGUCCUCGGCUUGACCCGUUAGCAACAGCAGACAAGGGUUGCGCUCGUUGCGGGACUUAACCCAACAUCUCACGACACGAGCUGACGACAGCCAUGCAGCACCUGUGCUAGAGUCCCGAAGGAGGGCCCGGCUUUCACCGGGCUUUCUCUAGCAUGUCAAAUCCAGGUAAGGUUCUUCGCGUUGCAUCGAAUUAAGCCACAUGCUCCACCGCUUGUGCGGGCCCCCGCCAAUUCCUUUGAGUUUCAGCCUUGCGGCCGUACUCCCCAGGCGGGGCACUUACUGCGUUAGCGACGGCACUCAGAGGGUCGCUCCCCCAAGCACCUAGUGCCCAUCGUUUACGGCGUGGACUAC
rnacentral:misc_RNA from 1 species